CCGUUCAACUCGUUUCCCCUUGAGGGAAACUACGGGAG
rnacentral:ncRNA from 1 species